GUGACUAUAGCUCAGCUGGUUAGAGCAUCAGAUUGUGGUUCUGAGGGUCGUGGGUUCGAAUCCCAUUAGUCACCCACCA
rnacentral:tRNA from 1 species